AUAUAUUUGGAAGUGUCAGGUACCCCUUGCCAGGGGGGUUUAAAAGGGAAUCGGGUGCAAAUCCCGAACGGUCCGGCCACUGUGAUGGCUAGUUAGUUUCAUUUACACCACUGGUGAUACCGGGAAGGUCGAAACUAGCGCUUACGCCUCAGUCAGGAGACCUGCCUGACGCUUAACUGAUCA
rnacentral:ncRNA from 2 species